UUUAUCCGGGGAGAGAGUCGGACGUGGGAGACGCACGAAAUACCCACUCAACUGAGAAUUGCCUCCUUCACCGGUAAUAACCAACCAAAAAACUCACGAUCUUAACAUGAACGUGGGAAGUUAUCGGCGCUCAAUGGGCUCACCACGAUUUACCAACUAUAAAAGAGGCAAGAUGGAUGAUCAACCCAGAACAAGGAAAAAGAAGAAAAUCAAAUUCCUGCAAUUUCAAUUUGGUUCGGAAGAGCACUCAACUGAAUCGUGUUUAGAAGGAUUGGUGAGAAUCAGUGAGCAAUUAAGGUAUCAAAUUUGGACAGAGUUCUAAGGUUAUAUUAAUUGAUUUCUAGAAUCAGUUCAUAUCUUUAUUUUUCUUUAUGUGAUUGCAGCUAGAUGUGCAAUACCUUCAUGUUAAUGCAGCUAUUGAUUCCAGCAUAGGCCUUAACCCAGCCCCUCUUUUAGAGUUAUCAGCAACAAUUGGAAGUAAGGAUCUUAGGAAGGUUGAUGAAAUUGGAAUUCAAGUCCUUAUUAGAUUAACAGGACGGGUGAGCAAUUAAGGAAGAAUUGAUUGAAGCUGUGAGGAAUUAAGGAGCAUAUUGAACAAAGCUUUAAGUAAAGUUGAGAGUACGUUCAUAGGCAACGGUGAAGCAAACCACUGAAUUACUUAGCUCGGUGCGCGUAUACCCUACACAAAUCAAGUUGGGGCUUUGAUUGAUGUUGCAAAGGUAGCUGGGGAGUAGCUGAUUGCUGCAAAUCUAUGGGUAAGGACAUUUAAAAUCAUAAACUUUAUUGACGAAAUAAAGAAGAAUACAUCUACAAGUUUUAAGAGUUGUGAAGACUAUUGACAAACAAAGUGAGGUGGUUUGCUUCCAAAAAAAAGGACUGGUCUGAAGACAUAGUUGCUGAAUUAUGGUAUGCUUCCAGUGAAGUACGCAUUGGUUAAAUGGCUUCUUCAUCACGGUCUCUUCCGCCGCCACCUAAUGGAGAUCAGGGAAACACAAUGCUACAUGCAUUAGAGGCAGAAAGGCAUCGUAGGAAUGCCCGACAAAGAGAAAGGUGACUGUCAUUAAAUUCCUCACAACGAGCUGAGUGUUCAGCCCGAAGACGCGCCAAUUAUCAAAUGCGGCGAAAUAUGGAAAAUAUAAGUAACAAUGGAAAUCAAGUGGAAGCAAGGGAGGGAAGUAGUCUCGAUCCUAUUCAUCCAAACAAUAGGCCACGUAGUAGUGUUACUGCGCAAGCACAUGGUAGAGGUCGCGGACGCAGGCGCGGGUGCGGAACUCAUAAUUGUGCUAGAAAUUUUAAUGAGGCCAUCGGAGUCACAAAAUUUCAGUUGCCAGCAUCGACGACAUGUCCACAUUGUCAUGCCCGUUUGUUCUAUCACGAAAGUAGAGACAUGUGUUGCUCCAAUAGAAAGAUUGUCUUGCCUCCCAUACAUUCUCCUCCAGAUAUGAUCGAGCUAUUCUCCUCUGAAUCUCCACAAGGAGCCCAUUUUAGGCAAAACAUUCGAGCCUACAACCAUGUAUUUUCAUUCACAUCAAUGGGUGUGCAUGUCGAUGAAAGUCUUGCAACCGGGGGUGGUACUUUCACAUUUCGUGCUCAGGGAUCCAUAUAUCAUAAGAUAGGAAGUCUUCUACCAAAUGCCAAUGAUAGA